GACGAACGCUGGCGGCGUGCUUAACACAUGCAAGUCGAACGGAAAGGCCCUGCUUUUGUGGGGUGCUCGAGUGGCGAAAGGGUGAGUAACACGUGAGUAACCUGCCCUUGACUUUGGGAUAACUUCAGGAAACUGGGGCUAAUAACGGAUAGGAGCUCCUGCUGCAUGGUGGGGGUUGGAAAGUUUCGGCGGUUGGGGAUGGACUCGAGGCUUAUCAGCUUGUUGGUGGGGUAGUGGCUUACCAAGGCUUUGACGGGUAGCCGGCCUGAGAGGGUGACCGGCCACAUUAGGACUGAGAUACGGCCCAGACUCCUACGGGAGGCAGCAGUGGGGAAUAUUGCACAAUGGGCGGAAGCCUGAUGCAGCAACGCCGCGUGCGGGAUGACGGCCUUCGGGUUGUAAACCGCUUUCGCCUGUGACGAAGCGUGAGUGACGGUAAUGGGUAAAGAAGCACCGGCUAACUACGUG
rnacentral:rRNA from 1 species